UAAAGACGACAGAUGCAGCAACGAUUGUCGACCUGAAAGGUGCUUACCUUCAAAUUCGGGUGUCACAAGAUCUAUGGAAAUAUCAACUAGUGAAUUUCAAAGGAACCGUAUGGUGUGAUGCUAGCAGUAUCGGAUAUGGUGUGUUACUUGAGGUCAAUGGCAACGCGGUAGGGGAUGCUGCAUGGCUUCGGAAACCUUCAGAUUUUGAUCCUAUCAACGUAGCAGAGCUGGAGGCUGUGUUGAAAGGUGUAAACAUGGCCAUCAAAUGGAACAUCUCUGAAAUCUAAGUUAUCACUGACGCAGCAACGGUGGCUGGUUGGAUCAAAACUGUUCUAUCGGAAGAGAGGAGAGUGCACACCAAAGGGGCAGCGGAGUUGAUUGUGAAGAGACGAUUAGGGAUAUUGAAAAGCCUUAUUAAUGAGUUUGGUCUGGUUUUGUCGAUCACCUUGGUUCCGACCAGAAAGAACAAAGCAGACAUUCUGACAAGAGUGAAAAAUGAGUAGUUAAGCACUGGCGGGUAUGGAAUGGAGGAGGGAGAACCAGAACCAUGCGUUUGUGCUACUGGCCAUCUUGACUUGAAAGACUUGCACGAUAUGCACCAUAUAGGGGUAGACCGUACUUUGUAUUUGGCUCGGAAGAUGCUACCAGAAACGAGCCGUGCUGAUGUUAAAAAAGUCGUACAAGCUUGUGAGCAAUGUCAGUCUAUCGAUCCUGCACCAGUUGUCCA